rnacentral:tRNA from 1 species
GGGGCCGUCGGCUAGCUUGGUCUAGGCUCCGAGGCUCGGGCCCUCGGGACCCCGGUUCAAAUCCGGGCGGCCCCACCA